CGUUAUAAAAGUUCGUCCAGAAUCCAUCCGCUAUGGAAGUUUAGACGGAGUCCGAUUCUUGUAGAAGUCCGGAUGGGGACCGCUUAUUGAAGAAGCUCGGCUGAAGUCCGCCUGUAAUAGAAGUUCGAAAGGAAUUCGUUUACAGUAGAAGCUCGGAUGGAAUUCGCUUACAGUAGAGAUUCGGAGUAGACCGCUUGCAGUAAAAGUUUGGAGUAGACCGCUUGC
rnacentral:lncRNA from 1 species